ACAGACAAACAGGACAUAGCGUGACAUGGUUUUCCAUGCCCCGAGGAAAGUCCGGACUGCAUGGAACAGCAUACCGGUUAACGGCCGGGCGGGGCGACCCGACGAUCAGAGCAACAGUGACGAAACGAUUUAAUUCGAGUGAAACGGGCAAUCUCUAUGCGCAGCAACUUCAAAUAGGCCCCCGCUUAACCAGUUCCAGGUUUGGGGGCGGGUAGAAGGCUUGACGUGCGAUGGUAACAUCGUAUCGCAGAUUAAUUAUGUCCACCGUGGCAACACGGUACAGAAUCCGGCUUAUCGUUUGUCUGGGCAA
rnacentral:RNase_P_RNA from 1 species